AUUGAACGCUGGCGGCAGGCCUAACACAUGCAAGUCGAACGGUAGCACAGAGAGCUUGCUCUCGGGUGACGAGUGGCGGACGGGUGAGUAAUGUCUGGGAAACUGCCUGAUGGAGGGGGAUAACUACUGGAAACGGUAGCUAAUACCGCAUAAUGUCGCAAGACCAAAGAGGGGGACCUUCGGGCCUCUUGCCAUCAGAUGUGCCCAGAUGGGAUUAGCUAGUAGGUGGGGUAACGGCUCACCUAGGCGACGAUCCCUAGCUGGUCUGAGAGGAUGACCAGCCACACUGGAACUGAGACACGGUCCAGACUCCUACGGGAGUCAGCAGUGGGGAAUAUUGCACAAUGGGCGCAAGCCUGAUGCAGCCAUGCCGCGUGUAUGAAGAAGGCCUUCGGGUUGUAAAGUACUUUCAGCGGGGAGGAAGGCGAUAAGGUUAAUAACCUUGUCGAUUGACGUUACCCGCAGAAGAAGCACCGGCUAACUCCGUGCCAGCCGCCGCGGUAAAAC
rnacentral:rRNA from 1 species